rnacentral:rRNA from 1 species
UAAAUUGAGAGUUUGAUCCUGGCUCAGGAUGAACGCUGGCGGCGUGCUUAACACAUGCAAGUCGAGCGAUGAAGUUUCCUUCGGGAAACGGAUUAGCGGCGGACGGGUGAGUAACACGUGGGUAACCUGCCUCAUAGAGUGGAAUAGCCUUCCGAAAGGAAGAUUAAUACCGUAUAACGUUGAAAGAUGGCAUCAUCAUUCAACCAAAGGAG